CUUGACCCGGAGCAGCUGACAGUCCCGACCAGUCCGUCCUCCGGCUUGUAAAGUCCGAGGAGCCUUCACUUUGAUGGCUGGGGGCGAAAGGGGUCAGGCGGGGAGCGGAGUCCCCCGCCCCCGCUGCCCUCGUCGCCCUGCGCUCCGGCCUCCGACUUCCGCGGCCGUUCCGGGCUCAGAGCCGAGUGGGCAGGGUUUGCCUCCCCCUCCCCGCCUCCGGGCCGCCUCCUCCGCCCCCAGUGGAGUCUCCGCACCUCCUCGCCGAGGGAGGCGGGGUGGGAGGGUCCGGAGCAGCAGGCUUAGGGCCGCUGCGCACUCUUCCUCCCCUGCUCUCUAGUUCAGGAGCUGCGGAGAAGUUUGGCUCCCCAAGCUCUGACUUGCUUCUUUCCCCACCCCCUCCGUUUAGGCAGGUUCUUUCCUCCUCCCUCCGAGGCACACGUGGGGCGGGGCACUCAGGGCUGACCUGGCAGAACAGUGAAGCUCAAGACCUGAUUUAAAGAGACAGACUCUGGAGAAGGGAGCAUUCCUGGUCUUGGCAUGAAUUAUUCAGGUUGGAGAAGCUGACAUUUGAUCUGCAGGCCAUUCGAGUAUCUUACUUGGCAAAGCUGGUUGGGAUAGAGGCUUCCCUCCUCCCCAUAAGAAUCAGUCAGUCUCUUUCUCUUGAAUUGGGGGAUAAUUGGUUGAUUUCUUCCCUGAAGUUGCAUUUAGCAGAUCGACCAGCAGAUUGAAACCACUUUACGAGGCACACUCUGCAGUGGCCUGGGUCUCAAGCAAAUACCAACACGAAGGGCCAGGCUGGUCCCCCAGUUCAUGUUGACCUAGUCCUGUCUCCAUGGUAACUCUACAGGGGCCAGUAGCUUUCACAUUUAGAGUUGGACAGGUGGCCACAUGAGUUUACACAUACACGUGUGCCUCUUACACAGAAAGGCAAGCUUCACACAAACAGACCCACACACGCCCAUGUGCGGUGUCACAAAUUCAUUCUUAUUUGGAUGCGCAUGCAUGUGCAUGGGAGGCUUGCACACAGUAGCUCCAAACAAAUGGGUCUCACACAGACACAUGCAGGCUCAUUCAUGCCUGUGUGCGUAGGAUAUAGCUCUGAGUGUAACCUGGUACGUGUCCAUAGAUUCAGAAGCAUACCGACGUGCUCAAAGGUUCACACACUGGGCCAGUGCAGAUUUCAACUGCAGCCUUAAAGGGGCAGCUUGCAGACUCUUGUGAACAUGAAUACAUACAGAUGGAACCCACUCUUGCCCUGGACUAUGUCCUUGUCCUUUGGAGGACACAGGUACCACCUUUUCUCACAUGGCACAAGUGCUCAAAUAAUGAGUGACCACAAUGGUCUGCUUCCCUGACUCAACUGCAUGAAGACCUUCUGCCUCUGAUCUCUAAGGAAGUGUAGACUACUGCCCAGGCCAAAGCUCCCUCAUGGGUUUUCAUGGUGGCUGCCUUCUGAUUGCUGCUGACUUCCCUCUCCAAGGGAGAGGGGCUACAAGGUGGCAGGCAACCUUCAUUGGUUGGUGUUAAACAGCUCCGUUGGGGAAGAGAAGCGUAAGAAGAACCUACAAUCAUUAGGCAAAGGGACCCAUGUUCUCUGUGUUGUAUGAAUGAGGAAAUUGCUAUGUUCUUUGAAAGAAGAGAUCUCUCCAUUUGGGAGUUGUCAGUGUAUUAUGUCCAGUAGGUGUUUCAAUAAAUGUAUAUCUGUGUGAGGC
rnacentral:sRNA from 1 species